AGCAAAGAGGUACGUUGCCCUCUAGGAAAUGUAUGUCACUUUGGGGUAAUUAUGCUGACAUGCAUUUUCCUGAUGGCAA
rnacentral:pre_miRNA from 1 species